AAACUUUUACACCCGUCUUUUACAAAGUUUCCCUGACACACCUCCCUUAGAACUCUCUCUAAGUUUUAGGAGGAGGGAACUCAACUUUCUAAUAGGGUUUAAAAUUUUAGCAUCAUAGAGUUUUGCUCAAAUUUCUUACUACUCAAUGAAGGAAUAGCUGGGGUAUUUAUAGACCCCAAAUGACUUCAAAACUUGAAGCCAAAAUUUAAAUCCCCG
rnacentral:lncRNA from 1 species